rnacentral:lncRNA from 1 species
UUCAUAGUAAUUACUGCCUCAAUUCAGAUUAUUCUUACUAAUUCUAUUUGAGUAACUUCCUUCACAUGUCAUUUGAAUUCCUGAUGCAUCUGUUUUCCCUAGAAUAUAUAUAUAUAUAUAUAUAUAUUUAUAUAUAUAUAUAUACACGUCAAUCGGUUAAAUAGGAGCUUUCUUGUGUUCUGUUUAAGACUCUGUCCUAAGAUUUGCCUGGAGUAUGAGUUUGUUGGUGUUAAUAUUUCAAAUAUACUAUGCUGACCUCUUUUAGUAUAAUAUGAGUUGUCGUGGCUAUAUUACAUCGUGUUGGGUCUCUUAGUUUGUUCAUUUUUAAAUUAAGGGAGCAAGUUUGUGUUUGUCGAUGGUUUUGUCAUGUAAACAAGACUAUACCGACUUAUGUUGAGUGGUUGUUUGAGUUCAUUUCUCUUGGAUCGGAUAUGCCUAAUUACCAUUUGUUGUUGUUGUCAUAGUUAGAUACUACCUUGUAUUGUUUUUCUUUUUCUUUUUAAUGCACUAUGAAAGUACUGGGUUGGUUACAAGAUUUAAGUUGUGAUUAUUUUUUUUUGUUAAUAUAUAUAUAUUAAACCUCAUAUAUUGCUGCCUUCAUGUAUUUGGGUUGUAAGACAACAUAAAUGAUUAUUUUCCUCCAUAGCCUUUUUGCCAAAAUAUAGUUGUAUGUGGCCAUAAUUUUUUUUAGUUCACUGCUGUUCUUGCUUUGCCUCACUUAGUCGAUGUUAUAUCUUUCUACUUAGUUAAGAAGCUCAUUUAAUUAAUUGACUUGUUUUAAUCUUAAUUAACUGCUGCAAUUAUCUCAUUUCUUUGGAUAUAAGCCCUUCGUCUUUUGUUUAGAANNNNNNNNNNNNNNNNNNNNNNNNNNNNNNNNNNNNNNNNNNNNNNNNNNNNNNNNNNNNNNNNNNNNNNNNNNNNNNNNNNNNNNNNNNNNNNNNNNNNGCUCUAUUACAUCGUGUUGGGUCUCUUAGUUUGUUCACUUUUAAAUUAAGAGAGCAAAUUUGUGUUUGUCGAUGGUUUUGACAUAUAAACAAGACUAUACCGACUUAUGUUGAGUGGUUGUUUGAGUUCAUUUGUUUUCUCUUGGAUAGGAUAUGCCUAAUUACCAUUUGUUGAUGUUGUCAUAGUUAGAUACUACCUUAUAUUGUUGGUUUUUUUUUAAUGCACUAUGAAAGUACUGGGUAGGUUAUAUAUAUAUUAAACCUCAUAAAUUGCUACCUUUACGUAUUUAGGUUGUGAGACAACAUAAAUGAUCAUUUUCCUCCAAGCCUUUUUGCCAGAAUAUAGUUGUAUGUUGCCAUAAUUUUGUAGUUCACUGUUGAUCUUGCUUUGCUUCACUUAGAUGAUGUUAUAUUUUUCUACUUAGUUAAGAAGCUCAUUUAAUUAGUUGGCUUGUCUUAAUCUUAAUUGACUGCUGCAAGUAUCUCGUUUCUUUGGAUAUAAGCCCUUCGUCUUUUGUUUAGAAGUGCUUUUAUUUUGCAAUUAUGUUCGUAUCUCCUAAAGUGAUUUAUGUGUUUACUUCUAUCUUGAAUUGAUUACUUGAUUUGUCGUUUUGUUGGAAUUUUAUCUCUAUUCUAAUUCUUGGUUAUCUUUUUGUUGCAUAAAAUCUGCCCAAGUCCUCACGGACUCAAUCUUUGCAUUUCGGUGACUCAAUCUUUGCAUUUUGGACGGGCCAUAAAGGCCCAAAAUUCUUUUAUCGAGUCAGCCCCUAUAUAUUCGGAAGCUGUUACAGGUCCCGGAGACCCAACACUACUGGAAAUUAGUUCACAAAUGUUCGAAAGCCCAAAAAAUGGGCUGUAUUCAUAAUGUAUACAGAAGUAUAUACUCAUUAUACAGCAAAUUAUAGGUCAAAAAUGCGAAAAUACAAAGAUGAGGUAAAAUACAGGUGUUCGGAAGCAGGAGAUACACGGAAAGAGCUGAUAUACACGCCAAUAUAUACUAAUAUACAGCCGGUGUAUACAAAAAGGGGAUUGGGUUAAAGGCCAAAAUUUGCAGCGAAAUUGGCCCAAGAAGGGGCCCA